rnacentral:lncRNA from 1 species
GCUGGAGUAUGCACAGCCCCAAUUCUGUGCUGAGAGGAUGCAAAACAGCAGACUAUCUGUGGUACAACUGUCUGGAGCAUCAAUUUUACUGUAAGAUUUGGAACAACCGAAGUUACAUAAUUUACAAGGUAAGUAUUUAAAAAUUUUAAACAGACCGGGCCAGUAACGUGUGCCCAAAAUGUCAGACUAUCUCUGAGAAAACUAAGAAAAACAUAUUAACCAUUAUUUUAAACAGGAAAAAUUAUAAGGAAUAGCAGGUUAAUUGAAAAAUUCUACCAAUUUUCUGAAUCACAACAUGGCACCUAGCGGUGUUACAAAUGUCAUAUUAGGAUAUAAAAUGCUUAAAACAUUACCUCUUAGUCACGUCACAAUUAAGUAGCAGUGGCCUCUCUUAGACCACCAUCAGACGUGUUCACACACCUUUGCUGAUAAUACAAAAUUUGCAAAGUGCUGUAAUUUUAUGGUCUACCAAUUGUAUUUGAAGCCAAUGUGAAGGUUUUCUUGCAAGCCAUUUAGUUUAAAAUAUGUUAUUAAGUUUUGAAAAUUCAAUAUAAAUUAUAUCAGCUGAAGGUUGAUAAACAGCCACUAUGCCAUUCUGGUAUUCAUAACUCAGUGUUCUUCCAGGGAAAUCAUACUUGCAGAUAUGUUUUAUGGGGGUGUGCCUGUAUUAUGAAAUAGAAGGCAAAAAUCUCAUUUAUUUUAAAUGUUUAUGUAUUUUUGAGAGAGAGAGAGCACAAGCGGGAGAGGGGCAGAGAGACGGAGACACAGAAUCUGAAACAGGCCCCAGGCUCUGAGCUGUCCGCACAGAGCCGGACGCGGGGCUCGAACCUGCAAACCGUGAGAUCAUGAUCUGAGCCAAAGUCAAAGGCUCAGACGACUGAGUCAUCCAGGUGCUUCUAAAACUCUCAUUUAUUUUAAAGACUAAAGCUGUGGGGGUGCCUGGGUGGCUCAGUCGGUUAAGUGUCCAACUUCAGCUCGGGUCAUGAUCUCUCGGCCUGUGAGUUCAAGCCCUGCGUCUGGCUCUUUGCUGACAGCUUGGAGCCUGGAGCCUGCUUCAGAUUCUGUGUCUCCCUCUCUCUCUGCCCCUCCCCCACUCAUGCACUGUCUGUCUCUCUCUGUCAAAAAUAAAUAAACACUAAAAAAAAAAAAAAAAAAGACUGAAGCUAUAACUUCAAGUAAGUUUGGGACUGCAGAAUCCUUUCAGCCUCCCUCCACAGUGUUCUGGAGUUCUGUCUGUAAUGACUCAUUCAUUUCUCCCUGCCUGCUGGGUCAUUUCUAUCAGUAUACAAAUGUGCUUAAUGUUGUGCAUUAAGUGAAGGCACUUCCUUUGACCCUGAAUUCCUCUGCAUUCUCACCAUUCUGUUUCUCUGCUCCGUAAAAGCCACUUCUCUGCACAUUCUCUCCUGAACCCAAUAUAUUUUAGCUUUCCUCCAUACUACUUCACUGACCUGGCUUUCAUCAAGGUCUUUCCAUUUGCCAAAUUCAAAGCCAAGUUUCUGUUCUUAUCUCAGUCUUUUAGCUGCACUCAACACAGAUGAUACAAUUGAACACUUCUUCCUUGUAUUAACUAUAUUUUCUUAUCUUCUUUUUAAAAAUUUCUCUGAUGCUCUGGAUCUGGGGCCUCACUGACUAGGGUGGGAUUGCCCCUUCCAGGUUUAGAUAACUCCUAAAGAUAGCAAAUAAUUUGUGCUGGGAGCAUGUCUUUCAUUUGCAAACCAACUAAUCCAGAGCUUACACCCUGUCACCUCUUCUGGAAACUGUUAGGCUCGCUCCAGGCUAAUGUUCCCCUGCCCUAAUAACCCCAGGGCCAGGUCCUAGAUAACUGGGGACAGUCCUGAUACUCCAGAGCCCACUGAAACUGUUCAGACUAGCCACUCCUAAGCCUACAUAGUCUGUCUACCCUGCCUCAGUCAUUCCUUCCCAUAAUAAAAGCUCUGACUGAUGCUCUCCCCUCACUUCCCCUGCCUCCUGACCAACCUAGAAGCUUCCUGUUGUGGCUCCGGAUUUUAGGGAGCUGUGAGUAAAAACUUCCUUUAUGACAGUCAUUUCUGUGCAUGCUUGCCAUCCCUGCCAGAACAAAUCUCUGGGUACAUUUGAAAACCCUCCUUCUUGGUACACUCCCCUGUGGAUUUUUGAGAACCUUUCUUCCCCGCUUACCUUACUCUACUUCCUCCUGCCCGUCCUCCUCCACUAGAUCUCUAGUGAUCCAUACCUUCCACGCUUCUCUUUCCUGCCCUCUCUUCUCAGAGUGAUCCCUCGUGAUCUCAGCUUUCAGAACCAUCUAUCUGUACCACCAGGCCUGGGUCCUCAUCCCUGGGGUGGGGGUGAGGGACACCCAGGCAUCAUUCUUGACUCUUCUACACUUCUCACCCCAUAUCUGUGGCUUGUUGGCUCUGCCUGCAGCAUGCAUCCUGGUGGCGGCCUCUUCUCACUCACUGCCUCUGUUUCUACAACCAGUUUCAGCCACUUUCCCCUCUCUCAGUUGACUGCCAGACACAGGCUUCUAACCACCUCCCUGCUUCCUGUCUUCUCCUGCGGUCUCUUGUCCCCUCAGUAUCCAAACCGAUCUCAAAAAAGUGAAAAAUGUCAUACAGACAUACCUCAUUUUAUUGCAUUUUACUUUACUAUGCUCUGCAGAUACUGUUUUUUUAAAAAAAAAAUUAAUGUCUAUUCAUUUUUUGAGAGAGAGAGACAGCAUGAGUGGGAGAGACUGUUUUUUUAAAAAAAAUUUUAGUGUCUAUUCAUUUUUUGAGAGAGAGAGACAGCAUGAGUGGGAGAGGGGCAGAGAGAGAGGAAGACACAGAAUCUGAAGCAGGCUCCAGGCUCCGACCUGUCAGCACAGAGCCUGACGUGGGGAUUGAACCCACGAACCGUGAGAUCAUGACCUGAGCCAAAGGGGGACGCUUAACCAACUGAGCCAACCAGGGGCUUUGUAUAUACUGUGUUUUUAACAAACUGAAGGUUUGUAGCAACCCUGUGUUGAGCAUUGGUGCCAUUUUUACAAAGUCAUCUGCUUGCUUUGUGUAACUGUCAUAUUUUGGUAAUUCUUACACUACGAACUGUUUCAUUAUUAUUUGUUACUGUGAUCUGUGAUCAGUAAUUACAACUCUGAAAGCUCAGGUGAUGGUUAGCAUUUUUUUGGCAAUAAACAAUUUUUUAAUCAAGGUAUGUAUAUUUUUUUCAAUGUUUAUUUUUUUUUGAGAGAGAGCGCACAAGCAGGGGAGGGGCAGAGAGAGAAGGAGAUACAGAAUCAGAAGCAGGCUCCAGGCUCUAAGCUGUCAGCACAGAGCCUGACUCAGGGCUCAAACUCACAAGCUAUGAGAUCAUGACAUAAGCUGAAGUUGGACACUUAACCAACUGAGCCACCUAGGUGCCCCAGUAUAUACAUUUUUUAAGACAAAAUGCUAUUGCACACUUAAUAGAUUACAGUAUAGUGUAAGCAUAACUUUUAUAUCCACUGGGGAACCAGGAAAUUUAUUUGACUCACUUCACUGCAUAUUCACUUUAUUUGUGGUUGGCUGGAACCAAACUGCAGUAUAUCUGAGGCAGGCCUGUAUAUGCUACCCACCCCCCACUUAAACCCUGCCUGGCUUUAACCUGGCUUUUCAUUGCAGUAGUAUAAAAGCUUAGAUAACCUGGCCCCUGCCUACCUCUGCAGCCUCAUCUGCUACCCUUGCUUGUUCAUACUAUUAUUUGUCUGAAUUUCUGGUAUCUAGAGCUGAAAGCAAUCUUAUUAUUUUAUUUUUUAAUGUUUAUUCAUUUUUGAGAGAGAGCAAGUGAGCAUGAGCUGAGGAGGGGCAGAGAGGGAGACAGAAUCUGAAGCAGGCUCUAGGCUCUGAGCUGUCAGCACAGUGCCCAAUGCGGGGCUCAAACCCAUGGACCGUGAGAUCAUGACCUGAGACAAAGUCAGACACUUAACUGACUGAGCCAGCCAGGUGCCCCGAACUGAAAGCAAUCUUAAUUGACAAAUGGAUAUUAGAUCACAGAUUUGGGAGCAUAGCAAAAGUCUGAGGAUGAAGGGCCAGGAAUGGCUUAAAAAAAAAAAAAAAAGAAGAACAAAGAAAUAAGAAGCAAAACAUAACUGAUUUGUAUGUAUAUAUCCAAAAGAAUAUAGUAGCAAAUAUGAAUUUUUAAAUGACCACACCAACAGACUUGCAAAAAAAAAAAUUACCUUUGAUUGUAUUCUAAAAACACAAAAAUAUACUUAGUAAAUAUAAAAGGAUAACAGUUUUACACAUCACAUUUUGGGACUACGAUACAAUAAAAUUAGAAGUACAAAAAUAAUUUAAAUAUGCUCAACUCAGGGCGCUGGGGUGCCUCUGUCAGUUAAGUGUCCAAUUUGAUUUCAGCUCAGAUCAUGAUCUCUCAGUUCAUGAGACUGAGUCGGGCUCUGCGCUGACAGCACAGAGCCGGCUUGGGAUUCUCUUUCUCUGUUUCUCUGCGUCUCACCCAUGCACGCUAAUGCGCACGUUCUCUCUCUCUCUCUCAAAAUGAAUAAACAUUUAAAAAUAGAUAAAUAUGCUCAACUCCGUGAAAACAUUAAAAUAUUAUUCUACAUAAAUUAAUGCCUGCAUCAGUGUGCGAAUUCAAGGCACAAAUACAUUGCCUAUAAAUAUACAGCUGACCCUUGAACAACACUGAAGUUGGGAUGCACACACUCCUUUAUCCCCUGCAGUCAAAAAUCAGCAUAUAGCUUUUGACUCCCCCCAAACUUAAUUACUGUUGACUGGAAGCCUUACUGUUAAUAAAUUACCACCUAUUUUAUAUAUGUAUUAUAUACUAUAUUCUUAAAGGAAAUGAGAAAAAUUGUUAAAAUGAAGGAAAAUACAUUUAUAGUACUGUAGUGUAAAAAAUCCACAUAUAAGUAGACCUGCAAACUUCAAACCCGUGUUAUUCAAUUGUACAUGCAAGUGUAUUGUAUUUAUACUGGUGAAAGGAGAGAGCUUUCCAUCUCUGAAGCUCCUGGGUAUGUUCAUCAGUAGGCAGCCAACCUAAAAUCUGUUAACAUCAUCCCAUUACAGGUGGGAGCAACAGGGAAGGUGGUGCUGGGAACUGUAACUAUUGAAGACACCAGUAAUAAAUCAGAGGACUCCAUCCUGCCAAGCCUAAACUUGACCUCACAGUCUUUAUCAGCACAGGGCUCCAGGCAGCUGCCACGAAUGGACGGGUGUUGGGGUACAAGAUCAAAACUACCCUAUGAUGGCAGACAGCCUGGGAACUGGAUCCAGCAGGUACAGUGGAAAAAAUCAGCGGCCCCCAAGAAUAUAUGAUGCACUCCAAGUGAGGACUUGAAUCCCUGGAGUUUUGGGAAGGGCUCAGAGCCAGACUGCUUCAUGUCCUCUCCCUCUGACUGGUUGGGAAUCGAUGGAACAUGCAAACAUAUUAACACUGGCAGCUGUGUGGACUGUGUCAACACAUGGAAGUGCACAAAUGGAGUAUUUUAAAACAGAACACAAUGUUAUAUGUCAAUUGUAUCUCAAUAAAUCUGGGGGAGAAAAGCAG